GGACGUCUCUGUACAUGGUAAAACCUGUGUGAAGAGAUAGGCAAGCACAGGUUUUCGCCUGUGAGGCAAUGGUGCGCGCAGGUUUCCCGACAGCCUGUUGUUUCGCGCGCGGGUACCACGUGCAGAAACCAAGCGAGAGUGAAGGGCCUGCCUGACAACUUCUUUGUUAAUUGGAACGGGCUUCUCGCUAUGUGUGCAGCGAGGGUGGUGAAAAGCCCGAGAUAUAAGAUGACAAGUGUGAGCACGAAGUAGAGUCGCGUUUAAUUAAUUUUCCUUUCUCCCUUGGGAACCUAGCUGUGCUCGUUUGUGAUACAUUUUGUACUGUAAUCGACGAAAUAACAGGCAAUUGCAGUUUUCCGUCGACUUGGGAGCGCCUUUGUGUUUGUGGAAUCAAUGUAGGCCUGCCUGCUACGCAAGAGUGAAAACUAUAAAUAUAGUCGAGUUGACUUAAAGAUUAAAUAUUGAUGUGAAGUCUGUAGGCCUAAUAAAUGUGUGGAAGUGUCACUGCACCUGCCCAUGAGCUCAACUGAAACACUGGACACCAGUGGUCACUGAACAGACACAGGCUCCUCCACCACUCACCUUCAAUCAUCACCUGAGACAAGAAAAGACUGAAAGAUCCGAAAGACGAGAAUGAAUGGACAAAAGUGUGUGUUCCUUUAAGACACAGAGGCAAUGACUGGUAAGAGCCCAGGCUAUGAAAGAGAAAGUCGCACAUGUUUGUGCCACUGUAUGAAGAAUGCCAAGGUGUUGCCACAGAGGAGAAGAAUGCACCAUAUCAAGGACACAGCAAUGUGGAGAAGGACAGAGAAAGAAAUAAAGCAAAGAAUUCUGUGUGGAGAGAGACUGCUAUUUCAGCUGUGCACAAAAUCCACAUCCCCCAACCUUAAUGUUCCUUGCGGUCCGAAACAUACUUCCCCAGUUUGAAGAUGCCCGGGACCGGUCCUAUCCGAAGCCCGGCUGGGAUGCUGCAGUCGGCAAACACACUGAUAGUGGGUGUCCGAGUCGCUUGCAUGGCUGGCUCUGUG